AUGAACGCUGGCGGCGUGCUUAACCCAUGCAAGUCGAACGCUGAAGCCCAGCUUGCUGGGUGGAUUAGUGGCGAACGGGUGAGUAACACGUGAGUAACCUGCCCUUAACUCUGGGAUAAGCCUGGGAAACUGGGUCUAAUACCGGAUAGGAGCGCCUACCGCAUGGUGGGUGUUGGAAAGAUUUAUCGGUUUUGGAUGGACUCGCGGCCUAUCAGCUUGUUGGUGAGGUAAUGGCUCACCAAGGCGACGACGGGUAGCCGGCCUGAGAGGGUGACCGGCCACACUGGGACUGAGACACGGCCCAGACUCCUACGGGAGGCAGCAGUGGGGAAUAUUGCACAAUGGGCGAAAGCCUGAUGCAGCGACGCCGCGUGAGGGAUGACGGCCUUCGGGUUGUAAACCUCUUUCAGUAGGGAAGAAGCGAAAGUGACGGUACCUGCAGAAGAAGCACCGGCUAACUACGUG
rnacentral:rRNA from 1 species